AACCAGCACCUCAAGUGGUCAGGAUGAUUAUUGGGCCUAAAGCAUCCGUAGCCUGUCCUGUAAGUUUUCGGUUAAAUCUAUGCGCUCAACGUAUAGGCUGCCGAAAAUACUGCAGAACUAGGGAGUGGGAGAGGUAGACGGUACUCGGUAGGAAGGGGUAAAAUCCUUUGAUCUAUUGAUGACCACCUGUGGCGAAGGCGGUCUACCAGAACACGUCCGACGGUGAGGGAUGAAAGCUGGGGGAGCAAACCGG
rnacentral:rRNA from 1 species